AUUGAACGAGGGGGGGAGGGGGAACACAGGCAAGUCGAACGGUAACAGGAGGCAGUUGGCUGCCUCGCUGACGAGUGGCGCGCGUGAGUGUAAUGUGGGGAACCCACCUAGAUGGAUGGGGAUACCUAGUGGAAACGGUAGCUAUAACCGCUUAACGUUGCAAGCGCAAAGAUCGGUAGUGCAGGGCGUCUUUCCAUUGACUUAUCCCAGGUGGGAUUAGCUAGUAGGUGGGGUAACCGCUCACCUAGGCGACGAUCCCUAGCUGGUCUGAGAGGAUGACCAGCCACACUGGAACUGAGACACGGUCCAGACUCCUACGGGAGGCAGCAGUGGGGAAUCUUGCGCAAAGGGCGAAAGCCUGACGGAGCAAUGCCGCGUGAGUGAAGAAGGUCUUCGGAUCGUAAAGUACUGUCAGCAGGGAGGAAGAGAGUAGUGUGAAUCCCUUUGCGCAUUGACGUUACCCGCAGAGGAAGCACCGGCUACCUACGUG
rnacentral:rRNA from 1 species